rnacentral:sRNA from 2 species
GUUCGAUUCGAGCGCAGCGAGAAAGCGUUGCCGUAGGCAACGACCCGAAGGGCGAAGCGCGCAGCGCUGAGUAAUCCUUCCCCCGUCAUCC